GAAGAAUGUGCACGAAGACGUGCUUGUGCCCAAUGGCGGUAGCGGCGAACAAAAGUGUGUCUUAACUUUGUUAAAAUUAAAUGACCAGUCGCCUCAGUCCAACACUUGGAAUAAGAUUAUAUUGUGCAAAGGAAGCAUUCGGGAUGUGUAGCGUCUGAUGCGCUCCGAGUCUCAGCCUAAACCGCGCGGAGCUUCAGUGAAGUCAACUCUCAGUCAAUUGGUUCGAGCUUCCAGACUGAAACCAACAUGAUCCGUGCAGACCAAAAGCCCACAGUCUCACUGCUUGCCAGGAGUGCUAUGAGACAAGGAUGCUGUGCGUGACAUUCUGUUCGCUCCGUUUCCAUGGAUACCACACCUGAUUAGACGGGAGGUCAUGCACGUGCUAUCCUGUGCCUCUGCGCAGCGUGCAAGCAGUGGACAGAGCCCAGCGAGAUCCAUAAUCAUCAUACAGGAAAGAAGUGGAUGGCUUUAAUGAUUUCCAUCUCGUCAAUGAGCACCUCUCUGAUUUAAAAUGAGAAAUCUGAAGCCCUGUUGGAAUCAGCCCACACCAGCGCCACAUUCAGAAAUCCUCUCAAUCAAUACUCAUUGACUUCGGCAAUGUCAACUUUACAGUGUCAACAGCGCAAUUGCGAGAUUUUGAGAAUUGUUGCGGGCCUUGGGGACGGAGAUCCGGUUCCCUAGCCUCCGUGGACCCCCGCUGCCAAGCCUCCCGAACAGUUGCUGUUCGGCUUCCAGCGUGACUUCUCCGCACUUACCAGCGAAUCCCGGAAAGCAGGCGGGAGAGAGAGACGGUCAUAUUCUCCCAAGGAGGCGUGACGAACAACCAUUUUUCAUCUUCUGCCUCUUUUGUUUUUUUGUUUUAUUUUUCUACAUUUUUAUCUUCUGCAACCAAAUCUGUCUCUGUGCUUCCUGAGACGCGCUCAGAGAGAGAUCACUCCCAAAGGCCAUCUUAACUACGCCCGUGUGUAGACACGGCAAGUGUUUGCUAGAUUGUACAAUAUUAGUCCCUAAUUUCGGGAAAUUACUAUCUUCAGACAAAAUCUCAACUUUGUCCUCUCUUUCUCUCUCUCUCUCUCUCUCUCUCUCUUGUCCGGAAUGGACGCGUUAAACGCUCGCGUUUUCCACUUUAGUCCAACACAUGAUGUUCCAUUUCCCUUUUCGUACGGCUAUUUUUCUUCUCUUUAUCAUUAUUAUUAUUAUUCUCUCUCUUUAGUUAGACCCCUUUUGUGUGUUUCCCUCUAGAUCCCUUGCAGAUGUCAUUAAAUGUACUAUAAAAUUCCA